AGGAAAUCCUUACAACCUGAAGAAGAGAAAAGUGUGAAAGAAGCUUCUCAGUUCUCAUUGGAUCUGCUCUCUUCAUUAUCUUUUCCCCUUCUUAACUCGCAUUCCUUCUCUGAGUCCACUCGCUUCCCUCUCCGUAACAUUCACUUAUCAUCCAUACCUAUACGUGCACUUUGUCCAUGCGCAUUUUCAGAUAGGGUCCAGAAGUUGAUUGCUUUGGCUGCAUUGGAUGGAACGAUCGAGGAAAUGGUGAUUUUCUGGCGCUUUAGCCUGAUGUUCCGGUGACGGACUUGAUUUCCCGGCCAAUUCGCCGGUGGAGCUCCACCGGAGAAGAUGUUCAAGUCGGCGAGACGGAGGAGCGAGAAGAACAAGGUCAAAGCUGUGUUCAAAUUUCAUUUCCAUGUAACUCAGGUUUUUCAGCUGAAUGUGGAUGCAUUGGUGAUGUCUGUGGUCCCUGGGGGCGUUGGGAAGCCAACAGCAAGACUAGAGAAGGGUAUACUCCGAGAGGGAAGCUGUCGGUGGGAAUAUCCAAUAUAUGAAACCGUGAAAUUCGCUCAAGACGCAAGAACAGGGAAGAUCGAUGAGAGAACAUAUCAUUUCAUUGUUUCAACUGGAUCCUCAAAAAACAGUUUGGUUGGAGAAGUUUCAAUUGAUCUUGCUAAUUAUGCAGAGGCUACAAAAGCCUCCACUGUUUCUCUUCCCCUGAGGAAUUCAAAAUCUAAUGGGGUUUUGCAUGUUUCAAUUCAGAGGCUGCAGGGGGGUAUCGAUCAAAGAGAUGUGGAGGAAACUGACAAUACAGACAUCCAAACCCAGAAUAGAACCCUGAACGCCCACUUAAGCAAUGGCGAAGAAGAAGGCAGUAAGAGCAAUUCUAAUGAAGUAAGUUUGCAACCUAGCGGUAAAAGGCAAUUCUUUUUCUUUUUUAUUUUUUUAACGGAAGGCGAUUCUUUAAUUCUUGGUUUGCAUGAUUGGGGAAAUUAGAGGGUGGAGAAAGAUUUACUACAAACGCAAAUUAUAAGUUUCCACCCUUCCUAUAACUCCUUUUCUUUUAUCCUGUAAUUAGAGAAAUGGUUGGUGAAAAUACGUUUGUGCAUUUUGUAUUGUUGAAGGUUGGACCACUUCAUGAUGCCAUCCACAUGUCUGAUGUAAAUGGUGACCGCAGAACAUCUAGUGGAUCUGACAUAACAAUGUCAAGUUCUGAGAGCAGCUCUGGGGUUAACACCCCAUGGGAACUUGGAUCGAGAAAUAAUUACAUCCUACAGGAUUCAACUAGCUUCCCAUCAUCUCAAAGCCAUGCCUCAGUUCCUCAUAAACCAAUUGCAAAUGUCUCAGCAAAGAUCUAUGAAGAGAAUCGGCAAUCACAAUGGGAGUGGUCAGCAGACUCUGAUCAUGGAAUAUGUAUUGACGACUCAAUAAGCGGUUCUCUAGACAACCUUACAGCAGAAAGAUCUCAACACAAUUCAGAUAUUGAGAUUGAAAAGCUCAAGGAUGAAAUUGUUUCUUUGGCUAGGCAAAUAGAUUUGUCAGAAUUGGAAUUGCAGACCCUUCGAAAGCAAAUUGUAAAAGAAAGCAAAAGGGGUCAGGAUCUCUCAAGAGAAGUCAUGAGCUUGAAAGAGGAGAGACAUGUUCUCAAGGCGGAAUGUGAGAAACUUAAAGCCUUCCAGAAACGUAUAGAGGAGGCAAAAAGCAAAAAUAAGUUGCAGUUUGAGGGUGGAGAUGCACGGGUUCUUCUUGAAGAAAUCAGACAAGAACUGAAUUAUGAGAAGGACCUGAAUACCAAUCUUCGAUUACAACUGCAGAAGACCCAAGAAUCAAAUGCUGAGCUGAUACUUGCUGUGAAAGACCUAGAAGAAAUGUUGGAGCAGAAAAGUAAGGAAACAUCUGAUCCUUCAAAUAAAUCAAGAUUCUCUGAGAAUGCUAUGUCACAAAGUGAUACUGAUGAUGAUGAAGAGCAAAAGGCAUUGGAAGAGCUUGUUAAGAAGCACAGAGAUGCUAAAGAAGCAUACCUGCUGGAGCAAAGGAUCAUGGAUCUCAGCAGUGAAAUAGAGAUCUAUAGGAGAGAUAAAGAUGAACUAGAGAUGCAAAUGGAGCAGCUUGCACUUGACUAUGAGAUAUUGAAGCAGGAGAACCAUGACAUGUCAUAUAAAUUAGAGCAAAGUCAGCUGCAAGACCAACUGAUGUUGCAGUAUGAAUGCUCUUCGUUUGCCAAUAUAAAUGAACUAGAAGCCCAGAUUGAGAGCUUGGAAAAUGAACUCAAGAAGCAGUCCAAAGCAUAUUCUGAGUCUCUGGCGACCAUAAAUGAACUGCAAACCUAUAUCAAGAGCUUGGAGGACGAACUGGAGAAGCAAGCUGAAGGUUUUGAAGCUGAUCUUGAAGCUGUAACUUGUGCAAAAGUUGAGCAGGAGCAAAGAGCCAUCAGGGCAGAGGAAGCCUUAAGAAAGACAAGAUGGAAGAAUGCUAAUACAGCUGAAAAGCUACAGGAGGAAUUUAAAAAACUGUCCAUCCAAAUGACCUCUACAUUUGAUGCAAAUGAGAAGGUAGCCAUAAAAUCGCUGGCGGAAGCUAAUGAUCUGCGUAUGAAGAAAAGUCAACUUGAAGAAAUGCUUCAGAAAGCUAAUGAGGAUCUCCAUUCAGUUAGGGAUGAUUAUGAGACAAAACUAUGCUACCUUUCCAGCCAAUUAAAUUUCAAAAUGGAUCAGAUAGAACAAAUGUUGGUGGAAAUUGAUGAUAAAAGAAAGCAGCUGGAACAUAAAAAAAAACAUGAGGAGGAACUUGUUGGAUCUUUCUCACAAGAAAUCCUUAGGCUAAAAAAUGAGCUUGAAAAGUGCACAAUGGAAAAUAAUAUCCUUUCUGAACAAGCAGAACAUAAAGAAAAUAUGAGAGUUGAAUUGGAACAGUUGAAGGCAUCGAUUAAGCAUACUGAAGAGCUGGUACAAAAAGGAAAUAUAGAAAGGAAUGAACUGGUGAGCACCCUUGCUUUGAUGAAGAAGGAAGGGGAGAAGUUGAUGGAGGAGUUAAAUAAAAUGAAAUCUCUCAAGGAUGAGAGGGAGACAGCAAUGGGUCUCAUGCAGACAGAGGUGGAAUCACUGAAAGCUCAGUGUAAUGACUUGAAACAUUCUCUCUUUGAAGAUGAGUUGGAGAAAGAAAAACUUAGAAAGCAAGUGUUCCAGUUAAAGGGUGACCUUAAUAAGAAGGAUGAUACGAUCACUAGUAUUGAGAAGAAGCUCAAGGAAAGCAACAAACGUACAGCAGUAUCUGAUAGCACAAGAAUGACUCUCAGAAACAAUAAAUCUGCUCUAGCUUCUCAUGGCUCCAAAGAGGCUACAAAUCUGAGGGAGAAAAUAAAAUUGCUUGAGGUAAAUCUAGAACUCCAAGUGUACAGUAAAUUAAAAGUUUUUACUAGAAUAGGCCAGGCUGAAUAUUAGUGUAGGUGGCAGCAAUGAUCACCAGUUUGAAACCAUAAAUAUUGCCGAUUGCCACAAGAGGAAGAUUUUCAUAUUAGUAUCAUAUGAGAUUCAUGUUGACCUUCCUACAAUAUCUUCAUGUUUUGCAGAAUUCGAUUAUUGACUUCUUGUUACAGGGAACAUGAUCAUAAGUACUCAUUAUGUCAUGAUUUUGUCCGACAGGGACAAGUAAAGCUAAAGGAAACUGCUCUAGAAACCUCAGCAAAUUCAUUUUUGGAGAAGGAAAGGGAUCUGCUAAAAAAAAUUGAAGAGUUAGAGCACAGAGUGGAAGAACUCAAUCAAAACAGUGCAAUUUUAUUUGAAAAGCAAUGCCAAAAGGUUAGCAAUGAUUUAUAUAUCUCACGUCAGAAAAGAGCCAACCAGGAAAUAAAUCUGAGAGUAUUAAUGCCCAUGUAGUUAGAAGAGGCCAUCACAGAAGUAGAUGAACAAAUUUGCCUUUAUUUCCUCAUCGAUCAAAUGCCUACUAGGUUUUUAUCUUUGUAUUUGCUUCUAAAUGUCACCUAAGUGUACAUCAUACCAUCAUUUCUGAAUGAUUAUGCUUGGGAUGCAGUUGCCUGAGGACACCAUUGGCAAUACUUCAAAUGGUGGUUUAGCUGAAGAUAUAAGAAGCACAUAUGAGAAUCUGAGCAAUACAGCAUGGAUGUCCAAAGAGAAUGGAAAUGCAAAAUCAUUAGUCAAGAGCAAUUGUGCCAUUAUAUCAGGGGAAGAACUGAAAACCAGUGUCAUCAGCAAUGGAGAUUGCAAUACUAAUGAAUUAAUCAGUGAAUUAGAAUCAUUGAAGGAGAGAAACAAAUCAAUGGAAAAUGAACUGAAAGAGAUGCAAGAGAGAUAUUCAGAAAUGAGUCUCAAAUUUGCAGAGAAAACUACAUACUGUGAAUAGCUAAGUGGCUACAUGUUCCUACACUAAAAUUCUAUAUGUGACAGUUCUAUCGGAGUGAAUAAUCAAUUUGUACAAAAGUAAUAGCAAUCUGAAUGUAGGAUCUUAGUUGCCUUUCUGUAACUUCCAAUAUUAAUUUAGUUAAGCUGACCCUGGAAAUUAUGAUAAAGCCAUUAGCUUGUAAAUAAGUCUACUAAAGCUUCUCUUAAAUGCUUCCUAUUUCGAAGGGGAGCCUGUGGGCAAUUCAGAGUUGCCCAGUGCUGCAGCCCGUGAGGUAAAUCUGCUAUCCAAUUUCUAUGGACUUCUGAUUUUAACCUGUCUGAAGUUCAUGCAUUAUUCAAAGUAAACUUCUCCAUGUCUGAAUCUUUUAGGAUCUUGAUUCUUGAAAAUCUUGACAUUAAAAUUAGUUCCAUUGUUCAAGAACAAAAAAGUAAAGCAUGUUGGAGGUAACAAAUCCAAGUAUUCUCUCAAAACUACAAAUCUG
rnacentral:misc_RNA from 1 species